rnacentral:tmRNA from 1 species
GGGGACGUUUUGGAUUUGACGGGUGGAUUGGUGUAAUCAGGCUGCGGGUCUCAGCGCUGUUCUGAGUUAUCAACGAGCAAAUUAAAAUAAACGCUACAAAUAACGUAGUAAAAGCUGAUUUUUCUAGAGUAAGAGCUCUAGCUGCGUAAGCGCAGUUCAGCCGUUGUGUCAGACCAUCUUGCCGUUUGGCAUAGCGAAAACAUGCAAGAUGCAGUUCGGUGAUGAAAGUAGCCGAAUUAAGACAAACUUUCAAGCUGCGUAUCAGUCUAAACUGCUCUGAUAAAUAAAAGGAAAGGAUCGUGCCGUAAUUUAUCGAGAUUAACAGACCUACACUCGUAGACGCAGGUUUAUAUCCCAUUCCGGACGAGAGUUCGAAUCUCUCCGUCUCCAAAU